AAAGACCAACAGCUGUUACUAAGCUAAGAAGAACUAAAGGAUUUACAGUAGGUGGUACCACCUGUGCUUUUCUUGUUCCACCCUUUAAAAUCUGCCACUUUAUUUUGGAGCUGGGUGGAGAACAUGGCAGUGAUUCAGCGUCAGGGGGAGGGAGCAAUCAACCGUGCCUCACUUCUGGUGGAGGGGAAUCAUCAACUUUACAAGUCACAGAACUGUGUGUUGAUGAAGCUCUUCUAUUGCAUUUGAUUUAUCCAUUGGAAAUAUGUUGGAAAAGUUCAUGAAUAAAAAGCAAAGCCACAUUAAGCUAACUUAACUGUAAAAAUGAAAGAAAAGAUUUACAACCAAGAUUUAACACUAGAUUCUUUAUAGAAGCAACUAAGGAUAUUUUCUAUAUUGUGCUUCAUUUCAGCUUAUUUACUUAAGGACUAGAAGAAUACAUUUGCCAAGUAACUAGUUACUUGAUCCUAGUAGUUGUGGAAUUUAAAAUUUAAACAUCCACUUGAUGAAACAUGCCUUCUGUUUCCACGUGAAGUAUUUAAGGGAUUAUGGAAAACAGAGAAUUAAGUCAUUUUGGGAAAAAAAUAGUUUUGAAACGUGAUAACUUGAGUAAUCUAGCACUUAUAUAGGAAGUUUCUCCUAAAUGCUAAAUUUAAAAUUGCAUAUACAGAAUUAUUGAAAGUUAAAUUAUUUAAACCAAUAAAUUUUGGGCAAAAGCAAAUACAUCGAGUCCCUCAGUUGAAACAAACGUUCCAUACUUGACCACCAGGAGAUAUUUCUGCACCUUGUCAUUCAAAAUUAAUGUUGCAGAAACCCAGCUGGCAUUUCUCUGUCUAUCAGAGAAAAUUACCAGAUGAUAAUUGUCUCUCAUUGUUUUUAUUGCUUUUCAUACUCCACAUAGUUAAUACAGAAAUUUGCCCAACACCAGAAAUGAUGAGGCCUGAGUUACAAGCACCCCAUUAUUCUUCACUGAUUUCUAUUUAUUAAUGAAGAUGGUUAGCUUUCAGUAGUUCUCAAUGACAUGACAGCCACGGAACUUCAACACAAAGAAAAUGCACCAUUGUGGUAUGGAUUUUUGCAUCCAUAUGUAGUUUUAGUCAUUUCUUUUCAUUAUAGUCAUACCUUGUUAUAAUUUUGUUUAUUUUAAAAAGAAAAUUUUCCUGAAAAAAAUCCUGUCAGUGUGGCAUGUCACAAUCCUCUCUAUUUUUAACAACCUUUCUUGCCUUCUGAAGCAAGAAAGAAAAAAGAAAUACUCUAGAACAAAAACAUGCAGCAUAAAUCUCUAGUAUAGCUUGAGAGUCAUUUCCUUCCGGUAAAUUAGUCUAAAAAUUCACCAAGGAGUAAUGCUGGUUUUUCUUUGCAGUUUUGGAAUGAAACAUUUGUAUCUACCUGAACACAUUUUGUUUAUAGCAUUAAAAAUAGAUUUCACUUAUAAUCAUGAAACAUCAAGGAUCAAUUCAGAGAACUACCCACAUUUACUCAUCUCGAAUUCUUACUGCAUUUAUUAUUCAUCCUCAACUUCACUAUUAAUCAUUUCUUGGCACUUAUGCCUACAUAGUAAUAUUAAUAAUAUUAGCUAGAAUAGUUGUUAAUUACUCUGGGCACGUUCUUUAUUGACAGGACAUUUACUCAAAAUGUUGUGUUUUUUCUUUCCAAUCCAAUGAGACACAUUUUUCUCCAUAUGUUAGUAACAGUACUAUCCCACACUGAAAUCUUACAAAAUGAUUAGAUGUUGGAAGUGCUGCACGGAGUGUGUCCAGAUAGCUCUAAAAUCUCUUUCUAUUAUCAGUGUUUGUCAUGUCCAGGGCACAGUCAUUGAUGCUGGUGGCACAGCACUUAGAUUCAGAGUGUGAAGUUUCAGAGUUUUGUGACAAGUGACUGACUGUCACACUGACAGCUGAGACCCAUCACUUGGAAUAGGGAACAUCUCCCCGAAGGCUGCAUAGUCAGGGUCAUUCACUGCAAGCCAACACUUAUCAAGAACUGCCCAGUGUGAAGAGUAGAUUUCUCCUGUGAUUUUCUUUUCAACAAAGGAUGUCACGUGUUCUUUUGCUCCUCCACAGUUACUUCCGCUGAUUUAUAGAACAUACAACAGACAGACUGAUAUACUGAGCAGUUGCCAUCUGAUAGCUAACCUCUGUAAAAUGAGAAGAGAGUUGAUACCAAGAUGCAGAGUCAUGAAUGAUACUCUGGUGAAAAUCAAUGUGUAAUCCCCAUCUCCCCAAAAAAGGGAUAAAAAAGUCUCUCAAGAAGGACUUAAUGGAAAGUGUUUACCAAAUGGGAUAAGUCAAAAAGGAAAAAUUGGGUCAUAAAAUUAAUGUUAUAAAAUUAGUGUUACCAGAGGGAUGAAAGGAUACAGAGGGCAAAGACCUUAGACAGGGUCUUUAUUUUACAGUGGAAGAGGCCACAAGUGAAAAAUACCCUGCCCAAGGACCAAAAAAAUUUAGAUUCCUACCAAGACACUAUAUGAACCAUGUCAGGAUAACUUGCUGUAAAAUGAGAUAGGAAGUGGAACAGAAAUGAAUCAUCCCAACAGAGACCAUCCAAAACAACUAGCAGCCAAUUGACCAAACAAUUGGUUGUAGGCACAGAACAUACCGUCAAGAAGUGUGUAUCCAUGUGUACGUAUGUGUGUGCCUUAUCCAGGCACUCUUCAAAGAUUCAGAAGAACAAGGUUCACAAAAUUUCUUAGAAGUCACGGAUCUAAGAAAGCUAUAUUUUCACAAGAUCAAGAUCAAAGUUGAAUGUGUUUUUGCCUUUGGAUAUGGUCUUUCUAAGUAUGUACAUAUGUUUACAUGGUCACAUUUUGUUUGAAAUUGUGGUCUAGGGCAGUGGUAAAAAGUUCAAGUAC